rnacentral:rRNA from 1 species
AGAGUUUGAUCAUGGCUCAGAACGUACGCUGGCGGCACGCCUAACACAUGCAAGUCGAACGAAGUAGCAAUACUUAGUGGCGAACGGGUGAGUAUAAUGUGGGUAUCUGCCUUUUGGUUUGGAAUAACACGGGGAAACUUGUGCUAAUACCGGAUAAGCCUUUACAGGGAAAGUUUUAACGCCAAAAGAUGAGCCCGCACUUGAUUAGCUAGUUGGUAAGGUAAUGGCUUACCAAGGCUACGAUCAAUAGCUGAUCUGAGAGGAUGAUCAGCCACAUUGGGACUGAGACACGGCCCAAACUCCUACGGGAGGCAGCAGUGGGGAAUCUUGCACAAUGGGGGAAACCCUGAUGCAGCGAUGCCGCGUGAGUGAAGAAGGCCUUUGGGUUGUAAAGCUCUUUCGUCGGGGAAGAAAAUGACUGUACCCGAAUAAGAAGGUCCGGCUAACUUCGUGCCAGCAGCCGCGGUAAUACGAAGGGACCUAGCGUAGUUCGGAAUUACUGGGCUUAAAGAGCUCGUAGGUGGUUAAAAAAGUUGGUGGUGAAAUCCCAAGGCUUAACCUUGGAACUGCCAUCAAAACUUUUUAACUAGAGUGUGAUAGAGGAAAGUGGAAUUUCUAGUGUAGAGGUGAAAUUCGUAGAUAUUAGAAAGAACACCAAUUGCGAAGGCAACUUUCUGGAUCACUACUGACACUGAGGAGCGAAAGCAUGGGUAGC